rnacentral:rRNA from 1 species
UACGAAGGGGGCGAGCGUUGUUCGGAAUUACUGGGCGUAAAGGGUGCGUAGGCGGGUCUUUAAGUCAGGGGUGAAAUCCUGGAGCUCAACUCCAGAACUGCCUUUGAUACUGAGAAGCUUGAGUCCGGGAGAGGUGAGUGGAACUGCGAGUGUAGAGGUGAAAUUCGUAGAUAUUCGCAAGAACACCAGUGGCGAAGGCGGCUCACUGGUCCGGUACUGACGCUGAGGUGCGAAAGCGUGGGGAGCAAACAGG